CCCAGAACCUAACGUAGUCUUUAUUACAACAUAACAACCUCGAGCAGCUCCUUGAACGUGGCAGAUUGAGGAAGCUGCUCUGCCGAAGCACCCGCCUGCCUGUCUGCAUUCUCAAGGACUCAAGGACCUUGCAUGCUCCUCACCCAACACAUUUCGUAUCAGCAUCAAUGUCAGCGUUCACAAUGGGAAGCAGCAGGAGCAGCAGCAGUAGAUGUUGGGGCUUUUAAUUAAUGCUUUUGAUUUGAGUUCAUCUCUUGCUGUCAUCAAGAGACCACCUCCAGAUGAAAAGGGCUGGUCAAAACCGGAGAUGAAUCAACUGGGCUUUUCAUUGGCACUGUCAGCUGCCAGACUAAACCACAGAUAUAACAGAAAAUGAGAUUUUCAAUAUGGCUGGAAGCACCAUCAUGUAAC